rnacentral:rRNA from 1 species
UACCAGCACCCCGAGUGGUCGGGACGAUUAUUGGGCCUAAAGCAUCCGUAGCCGGUUUUACAAGUCCUCCGUUAAAUCCAGCUGCUUAACAGAUGGGCUGCGGAGGAUACUAUAAGACUAGGAGGCAGGAGAGGCAAGCGGUACUCAGUGGGUAGGGGUAAAAUCCGUUGAUCCAUUGAAGACCACAAGUGGCGAAGGCGGCUUGCCAGAAUGCGCUCGACGGUGAGGGAUGAAAGCUGGGGGAGCAAACCGG